GUGCCAGCAGCCGCGGUAAUACGGAGGGUGCAAGCAUUGAUCGGAAUUACUGGGCGUAAAGGGCGCGUAGGCGGCAAGAUAAGUCAGGUGUGAAAUUCCGGGGCUCAACCCCGGAGCUGCAUUUGAAACUAUCUAGCUAGAGUUCAGCUAGGGUAAACGGAAUUCCACGUGUAGCGGUGAAAUGCGUAGAUAUGUGGAAGAACACCAGUGGUGAAGACGGUUUACUGGGCAGAGACUGACGCUGAGGCGCGAAAGCAUGGGGAGCAAACAGGAUUAGAUACCCUGGUAGUCCAUGCCUUAAACGAUGCAUACUAGAAGUAGGAGGGCUCAACCCCUUUUGUUUCGGAGCUAACGCAUUAAGUAUGCCGCCUGGGGAGUACGCUCGCAAGGGUGAAACUCAAAGGAAUUGACGG
rnacentral:rRNA from 1 species